UACGUAGGGGGCUAGCGUUGUCCGGAAUCAUUGGGCGUAAAGCGCGUGUAGGCGGUUCGGUAAGUCCGCUGUGAAAGUCGGGGGCUCAACCCUCGAAUGCCGGUGGAUACUGUCGGGCUAGAGUGCGGAAGAGGCGAGUGGAAUUCCUGGUGUAGCGGUGGAAUGCGCAGAUAUCAGGAGGAACACCGAUGGCGAAGGCAGCUCGCUGGGACGGUACUGACGCUGAGGCGCGAAAGCGUGGGGAGCGAACAGG
rnacentral:rRNA from 1 species